AAGAGAAUCCUUUUGAUAUGUGUCUGGAAAUAAUUGUUUUUUUUUGAAAAAAAAUUUGCGUUUUAUUCAUCUUUAACAAAAAGACACUUGUUUUAUUCAUAUGUUUCUGGACAUAGAGCAUGAUGUGUGCAUAAUUCUUCGGGUAUGUUCUUCCUUCAUUCCUUUCUAUUUUUUUACAAUCGUUCUUUUUCCUUUUAGGAAUAUCUGGUACAACAAGGGCUAUUUCCUUACCUUGAUCAGCCGCAACCAAACAGUAAGUCUGGACAUAUAUCUAUGGAUUUUCACUUGGCUGGAGAAUCUCACACCUCCUGAUUCAGCUGAUAUGAUGAUAUGCAUCUCCUUGUCUCGUUAUUACUCAUUGUUUCUUGUCCUACAAGUCACCAAAGGAAAAAGAAAUAUUACUUAGAUUCAUAUUUCACUUGCCAAAAAAUAGUCUAAGCCUUUCUAAUUAGGUGGGAUAAAAGAUAAACUUGUGAGUGGCUCGAGAUUUUUACUCUGAUUAUUUGGAUCAAUGGGGUAAUUUUCUGCCUUGCGUCUAUCACUUCUGACAAUAUCUUUUCCGCAUGCAGAGAGCAAGAUCAGGACGAAGCUGACGAAACAGAAUAUCAGAACGGGGCAAUGGAAGUGGCGAGGAACGUGGUUGAUAGUACUCUAGAGAGGGCAAGUUUGCAUGAAUUCCCCGGAUUAAAUAAUUUAGGCCCAGAGGAAUUAUAUGCUAUGUUGUUUCUCCAGGUCGUUAGACUACAUCGGAUUCUUUGACAGUGAAGAAACACUUAUUGCCGUGGUGGAACUUGAAGAAGACAGUGAAGAGUAGUGUAUGUAUAUUCUCUUCUUAUGACUAUAUAUAUAUAUAGAGAGAGAGAGAUCCAGAUGAAAUUGUUGAUGUAGACAGAAGAAAAGGAGAUUGGCGGAGGAACUAGUUCUUCAGUUCAUUGUACAUGCUAUGUUAAAUUGUUCAUUAUCAUAUGAUUUUAUUGCCUA